CUACACAGGAACAUCCGGCGUGUUUGCUCUGGUCGUCACAGCACCGGUUCCUCGGGCGCGCGCCCUUAGUCCUGGGGCCGCUUCUCCCCCGGACGCGUGCGAAGGCGGACUGGGUUCCGCUGCGGUCUCCACGGGAGCCACCGGUCCUGAAAGCGCGGAGCAUGCUUUGUUUGCGGAAACGAAAGCGAAUACUUCUUUCCAAGGAGACUUAGGAAAGGGCAGACGCUCCCACUGCCUCAGGUGUUCCCUGGAGGACCUUCAAGUGGCCGCCGUGUGGGCGGGCUAGCGUCCCGCUGCUGCGCUGGUUCCGGAGCCCUUCCCUUGCCUCUCCCAGGGUCCUUCUCCCAGCGUCGGAGGAAGGCCCGCAGUCUGCGAGUGGAGUGCGGGUGGUGGGAAUCCCUGGGAGGAUUACGAAAUCCUUAAAGUGGGAUUUACCAAACGCAUUCCUUUCCGCUCACUUCCGUUCCCGCUUAACAAACGUGUUGGAAACGUGUUGCUACUGAAAGGAAGUGGCGCUGGGCUGCAUUUUCUGUGGCUAGUCUGCGAGAAACAGCCCUGGAAUAGGGCCUCUAUUUCUUCCUUGGAGCAUCCCUCCCCGGGACCUGGGAGUUGAAACUCUAGGCUAAAGCAACUGAAGCAGGCCCAGGACUGGGUCUCUGAAAUUCAUGGUGUCUCUACGCUGAGUUAAACUAAGUUUUUCAGAAAAUGUCUAACUAGGCUAAAGACCUUGUGCUUCAGAGUGUUUUGAGAGGAGAGUUUGGGGAAAAGGGCUCUCUCUAGAAGGUAAAUUUGUAUGGGAGAUGGGGAGUGUGUGUUUACACGGAGUAUCGGGCGUCUUUCUUAUGGGUGGACAUUGUGGAUAAGAAUGAGAUAUUAAGGCAGAAUUAGCUGGGCUUUUAAUCCCAAACAGUGUUUUAAAAAUAAAAACUAUAUAUUUAAGGUGUACAACAUGAUGUUUUGAUACAUGUACACAGUGAAAUGAUUUCUACAGUCAAGCUAAUUAACAUAAUACAUCUCUUCACAGUUACUAUUUUGUGUAAGUGGUGAGAGCGCAUGAAAUGUACUCUCCGCAAGUUUCCAAUGCACAAUGCAGUAUUAACUAUAGUUAUGCUAUGCAUUACAUCUCUAGACUUAUUCAUCCUAUAGAACUGCAACUUUGUAUCCUUUGACCAACAUCUUAACCAUUUCCAUACGUCUCCACCCCUGGUAACCACUGUUCUACUCUGCUUCUAUGUAUUUGACUUUUUUAGAAUCCACAUAAGAGAUCAUGCAGUAUUUUUCUUGCUGUGUCUGGCUUGUUUCACUUAGCAUAAUGACAUCGAGGUUCAUCCAUGUUGCAAACAGCAGGAUCUUCUUUAUUAAGGAUGAAUAAUAUU
rnacentral:lncRNA from 1 species